rnacentral:rRNA from 1 species
GCAAGUCGAGCGAGAACCACAGGAGGGGUAACCCUCUUGUGGGGAAAGCGGCGAACGGGUGAGUAACACGUGGGCAACCUGCCCCAGACACUGGGAUAAGCCCGGGAAACCGGGUCUAAUACCGGAUACUCUCGAACCACCACAUGGCGGAUCGAGGAAAGCUCCGGCGGUCUGGGAUGGGCCCGCGGCCUAUCAGCUUGUUGGCGGGGUAACGGCCCACCAAGGCAUCGACGGGUAGCUGGCGUGAGAGCGUGGCCAGCCACACUGGGACUGAGACACGGCCCAGACUCCUACGGGAGGCAGCAGUGGGGAAUCUUGCGCAAUGGGCGAAAGCCUGACGCAGCGACACCGCGUGGGGGAUGAAGGCCUUCGGGUUGUAAACCCCUUUCGGCAGGGACGAAGCAAUCAAGUGACGGUACCUGCAGAAGAAGCCCCGGCUAACUACGUGCCAGCAGCCGCGGUAAGACGUAGGGGGCGAGCGUUGUCCGGAUUCAUUGGGCGUAAAGAGCGCGUAGGCGGCCCGGAAAGUGGGGUGUGAAAACCCGAGGCUCAACCUCGGGCGUGCAUUCCAAACUCCCGGGCUCGAGGCAGGUAGGGGAGAUCGGAAUUCCUGGUGUAGCGGUGAAAUGCGCAGAUAUCAGGAGGAACACCGGUGGCGAAGGCGGAUCUCUGGGCCUGAUCUGACGCUGAGGCGCGAAAGCUAGGGGAGCGAACAGGAUUAGAUACCCUGGUAGUCCUAGCCGUAAACGAUGGGUGCUAGGUGU